AUUGAACGCUGGCGGCAUGCUUUACACAUGCAAGUCGAACGAGUGGCGGACGGGUGAGUAAUAUUUGGGAACUGCCUUCUAGCGGGGGAUAACUACUCGAAAGUGUAGCUAAUACCGCAUACUAUAGGAUGGCCCAUAUGGGAUUAGCUAGUUGGUGAGGGAAUGGCUCACCUAGGCGACGAUCCCUAGCUGGUCUGAGAGGAUGACCAGCCACACUGGGACUGAGACACGGCCCAGACUCCUACGGAGGCAGCAGUGGGGAAUAUUGCACAAUGGGCGCAAGCCUGAUGCAGCCAUGCCGCGUGUAUGAAGAAGGCCCUAGGGUUGUAAAGUACUUUCAGUCGGGAGGCGUUACCGACAGAAGAAGCACCGGCUAACUCCGUGCCAGCAGCCGCGGUAAUAC
rnacentral:rRNA from 1 species